rnacentral:rRNA from 1 species
ACCGGAGAAUGUUAUCACGGGAGACACACGGCGGGUGCUAACGUCCGUCGUGAAGAGGGAAACAACCCAGACCGCCAGCUAAGGUCCCAAAGUCAUGGUUAAGUGGGAAACGAUGUGGGAAGGCCCAGACAGCCAGGAUGUUGGCUUAGAAGCAGCCAUCAUUUAAAGAAAGCGUAAUAGCUCACUGGUCGAGUCGGCCUGCGCGGAAGAUGUAACGGGGCUAAACCAUGCACCGAAGCUGCGGCAGCGAACGUAUCACUUAAAGCGAUUCAGCGGGUUACGAUUGACGGAGCGAAGCGACGUCAAAGCGUAUACAAAGUCGAGUCGGUUUAAGGAUACGUUCGUUGGGUAGGGGAGCGUUCUGUAAGCCUGUGAAGGUGUGUCGUGAGGCAUGCUGGAGGUAUCAGAAGUGCGAAUGCUGACAUAAGUAACGAUAAAGCGGGUGAAAAGCCCGCUCGCCGGAAGACCAAGGGUUCCUGUCCAACGUUAAUCGGGGCAGGGUGAGUCGACCCCUAAGGCGAGGCCGAAAGGCGUAGUCGAUGGGAAACGGGUUAAUAUUCCCGUACUUGGUGUUACUGCGAAGGGGGGACGGAGAAGGCUAUGUUGGCCGGGCGACGGUUGUCCCGGUUUAAGCGUGUAGGUUACUGCGAAGGGGGGACGGAGAAGGCUAUGUUGGCCGGGCGACGGUUGUCCCGGUUUAAGCGUGUAGG